rnacentral:rRNA from 1 species
UUAGGGAAUUUUGACAAUGGGCGCAAGCCUGAUCGAGUGACGCCGCGUGUGGGAUGACGCCUUUCGGGGUGUAAACCACUUUUCUUGGGGACGAGAACGGACGGUACCCGAGGAAGAAGCCUCGGCUAACUACGUGCCAGCAGCCGCGGUAAUACGUAGGAGGCGAGCGUUGUCCGGAAUUACUGGGCGUAAAGCGCGCGUAGGCGGGUCUUUGCGUAGGCGGUGAAAGCCCCCGGCUCACCUGGGGGAGUGCCGCCUAAACGGGGGACCUUAGAGGGCGGUAGGGGCUGGCGGAACGCCCGGAGUAGCGGUGAAAUGCGUUGAGAUCGGGCAGAACACCAGUGGCGAAGGCGGCCAGCUGGGCCGACCCUGACGCUGAGGCGCGAAAGCCAGGGGAGCGAACGGAAUUAGAUACCCCCGUAGUCC